GUGUCAGGUGACACUGUCUCUACUCUC
rnacentral:piRNA from 1 species